rnacentral:rRNA from 1 species
GCUGGGAACUAAGCAAUCAAUAAGCGGAGGAAAAGAAACUAACAAGGAUUCCCCUAGUAACUGCGAGUGAAGCGGGAAAAGCUCAAAUUUAAAAUCUGGUGGUCUUUGGCCAUCCGAGUUGUAAUUUAGAGAAGCGUCUUCCGCGCUGGACCGUGCACAAGUCUCCUGGAAUGGAGCGUCACAGAGGGUGAGAAUCCCGUCUUUGGCACGGACACACCAGGGCUUUUGCGAUGCGCUCUCGAAGAGUCGAGUUGUUUGGGAAUGCAGCUCAAAAUGGGUGGUGAACUCCAUCUAAAGCUAAAUAUUGGCGAGAGACCGAUAGCGAACAAGUACCGUGAGGGAAAGAUGAAAAGCACUUUGGAAAGAGAGUGAAACAGUACGUGAAAUUGUUGAAAGGGAAACGCUUGAAGUCAGUCACGUCGACCGAGACUCAGCCUUGCCUCGGCUUGGUGUACUUCUCGGCUGACGGGUCAGCAUCAAUUUUGCCCCUCGGAUAAUGGCGAGGGAAAUGUGACACCUUUAUGGUGUGUUAUAGUCUCUCGUCGCAUGCGAGGGUUGGGAUUGAGGAACUCAGCACGCGCCUUCUGGCGUCGGGGCUUUCGCCCACGAUACGUGCUUAGGAUGUUGGCAUAAUGGCUUUAAACGACCCGUCUUGAAACACGGACCAAGGAGUCUAACAUGCCUGCGAGUGUUCGGGUGGAAAACCCGUGCGCGCAAUGAAAGUGAAAGUUGGGACCUCUGUCGUGGAGGGCACCGACGCCCGGACCAGACCUUCUGUGACGGCUCUGCGGUAAAGCAUGUAUGUUAGGACCCGAAAGAUGGUGAACUAUGCCUGAAUAGGGUGAAGCCAGAGGAAACUCUGGUGGAGGCUCGUAGCGAUUCUGACGUGCAAAUCGAUCGUCAAAUUUGGGUAUAGGGGCGAAAGACUAAUCGAACCAUCUAGUAGCUGGUUCCUGCCGAAUCCCCCCUCA